AAUAGAUGUGGAACAAAAACCUAUUGUCUAACAUCUUGAGAGAAAAUCAGUUGACAGGUCCUAGUUAUGAGGAUCAAAAGAAGAGAAAUUGAACAAUCCACUUAUUGCUCAUGAUUAUAAGUUUGUUGAAGUUGACAAUGGUCAAAGGUUAUGCAACUACUCUCUUUCAUCAUCAAGAAAGGGUUCAGAUUGGGCGCCGUAUCUGCACUGAAUUCUCAAAAGGACUGAUGCCCUAGGUGCUGCUGGAAGCACCAAAAGUCUUGAUUAGUUUGAUCGUUGGAGCCCUGCUUCCAUACUGGUGUUCUGCUGUGACCAUGCAUGAAGAUUGUAGGAAGCUACAGCUCUUAAGAUGGUGAAAGAACUUCGCAGGAAAUUUGUCACCUUUCCUCGUCUUAUAGAAGACGAAGCAGUUAUCAGGAUUGUCGAGGACAAGCGGAUAUUGAAUUAGAAAAAGAAACAAGUAGAAUUCAGGUAAUCUUAUUUGUACUGCUGGAACUCAGAUUUUUAGAUGAGAAAAGAGUCAGCUGCCUAUACUUAGCAGUUAUGAAUCAUCCGACAGUUGAACUCACU